rnacentral:rRNA from 1 species
GACGAACCGUCCAAACGUUAUUCGGAAUCACUGGGCUUACAGAGUUCGUAGGCGGUCUGGAAAGUUGGGUGUGAAAUCCCUCGGCUCAACCGAGGAACUGCGCUUGAAACUACCAGACUCGAGGGAGAUAGAGGAAAGCGGAACUGAUGGUGGAGCGGUGAAAUGCGUUGAUAUCAUCAGGAACACCGGUGGCGAAGGCGGCUUUCUGGGUCUUACCU